UACGAAGGGGGCUAGCGUUGCUCGGAAUCACUGGGCGUAAAGCGCACGUAGGCGGCUUUUUAAGUCAGGGGUGAAAUCCUGGAGCUCAACUCCAGAACUGCCUUUGAUACUGGGGAUCUUGAGUCCGGGAGAGGUGAGUGGAACUGCGAGUGUAGAGGUGAAAUUCGUAGAUAUUCGCAAGAACACCAGUGGCGAAGGCGGCUCACUGGCCCGGUACUGACGCUGAGGUGCGAAAGCGUGGGGAGCAAACAGG
rnacentral:rRNA from 1 species